UUAUGUACAUACCUACAACAUAAUUUUAAUGCAUCAGAUCCCAUUAGAACUUUGUAGUUAACCAUGCUUGGGCUAGUGUAGUAUUGGGAUUGGUGACCACCUGAGAAGUCCUAGUAUUUUACAUGCC
rnacentral:rRNA from 1 species